rnacentral:tRNA from 1 species
GACUUCGUGGCGCAACAGUAGCGCGACUGACUCCAGAUCAGUAGGCUACGUGUUCGAAUCACUUCGAGGUUA